AUGUAUAUUUAGAGAAAUACAAUGACCUAUCUAAGCUGAGCAAUAGAGUAAAGCUUGAACUGCCACACACUCUAGGGUCACUAUUAUAAAAAGCUAAUUAACAUGAGUGUAAUCAUGCUUGGGCGCAAAACCCCAAAAAACAAAUGAUAACAUACAGACUACCUGCAGAAGAUUUUAGGGAUCAAAUACAGAACCCUCAAAUUUAGUAAUAGCAAUCAAUGUGGUGCUAUGUAGUAGUCAGUCAAUAUCUUCUAUAAUAUGAUGUAUUUUACAACUAUGGGGUCAUUUACUAUGCAGAAUGCAGUGUGCAAACAAAAAUGCCACAAUCGGCCACUUUUUUGCGCUUUGCACACUGUGUUCUGCCUUAACGGAAUGGCCACAGGCCUCAACACUCUGGUAAAUAUGGGGAGGGCACUUCUUUACAGGACUGGAUAUACUUGUAACUACAGAAUGAUACUUGUAUAAAUCUAUUAAUCCCCAACUUUGUUUCGUGGCAAGAGAAGGCCCUGACCUUAAAGUCAAGCUUAAAACAAUCUAAAUAGUAAAAAAUGUAAAGACUAACGAAAAGCCUACCCAUUUUUCUUUUUCUGUUGACAGGCCCAUAGUCUGCUUUGGUGGUAUCUAGUAGGAAAAUAUAGAUAGAAUUAAUUUAAAGAGCUCAGUACACUUGGCAUACAAUAUAAAUAUCAAUAUGUACAUGGCAGGGUAUAAUAAUGGUAUAACUUACUAGCAGUUGGGCGACGUGACUCAUCUUUUUUCCACCUUGGGGUGACAUUGACAGGCCCAUUGUCUGCUUUGGUGGUAUCUAGUAGGAAAAUAUAGAUAUAAUUAAUUUAAAGAGCUCAGUACACUUGGCAUACAAUAUAAAUAUCAUUAUGUACAUGGAAGGGUAUAAUAAUAGUAUAACUUACCAGCAGUUGGGCGAUGUAACUGAUCUUUUUUCCACCUUGGCGACACAUUGACAGGCCCAUUGUCUGCUUUGGUGGUAUCUAGUAGGAAAAUAUAGAUAUAAUUAAUUUUAUGAGCUCAAUAUACUUGGCAUAUAAUAUAAAUAUCAUUAUGUACAUGGAAGGGUAUAAUAAUGGUAUAACUUACCAGCAGUUGGGCGCUCUAACUCCACUUCUUUCAAACUUGGCAUGACAUUUUGUUUGACUGGAUAAAAAGAAAUAUUUUUCAUAAAAAUCAUAGGAUAAUGAUAAAAUUGGAAUUAUAGUUGUAAAGAUAAGCAUCUAACAGGGUAUAAUGUCAAUGGUAUAGGCACAUGGGCAGUGAAUUUGAAUGCAAUUCCCAUUAAAGCUCACUGGGGUACCACAAGCCUACACUGACAUUGUCCCUAUAGACAGAUCAAUGAAAUUCCACUUACCAAAAACAAAAGUUGGGCGCCGCAACUUGGGCUUCCACAGUCGAGUGGUGUUCUGCAAAACUGGGGAAACAUAUUUAUUAUAAAGACCAUAUUAUAAUGACGAGAGAAAUAUUAUUUUAUAUAAACACAACGUAAUUCAGAUUUUCUGGCCAGGAUCCCAGGACAACCAAUUACCGGUAGAUCACUAGCAGCCAGUUGAAAAAGGAUUGGUUGCUAUGGGUUACUGCCAGGGUGCAAAUUUGCCCAAUAUUAAUUAAUGACAAACAUAGGUCCAAAAGCACUUGAUGGAAGGGCAGACUGGGGGCACUUCGUAGGGAUGGGCGAAUUUGACCCGUUGACUUUAAGGUGAUAUUUAGGGUGUCUAUCUGCUGUUUUUUUAAUUGGUAAAAGUGCAGCUUAUGGGAUAAUUAGGACUAAUUGGACACUUCUGGAUAUUCUUGAUAUUCUUGUUAUGGGUGAAAGGGGAUGUGAAACUAAAAAGUUCAAAACCCACUUCCUCAAACAAUAAACACAUUUUUACAUUUGAAAAAAAAAUAAUCUUACUGAUGGUUUUCUUUUCAACAGCCCCUUUGUCUUCUGAUUUAGCGGAAUCUAGAAUGGAGAAAUGUACAGAGAUACUUUAACCUUUAUAAGCUCAGCACAUAAAAUACAAAGAGGGUUAUGAGAUAUUAGAAGCAAAUAUUACUCUAGUUCUUAUCACCUAUAGCAACCAACAAACAGGUUGAAUUUACUUGUCACACGUUAACCAGAAAACAUCUCCUUGGAUGCUGUUGUUUACUGCACUUGUGCAAGCUUUGUGCCUUUUAUUACAUAUGGGGGGGGGGGGAAUAUAGACACAUUUAUAUGAAUAUAAGGCCAAUGAUUUGAGAGGAAACUUCUUCCUGACCUUUCUCCACCUAAUGUCCCAGACCCACUAGAGUCAGUUUAAUUGUUGGCUUGAAGGGAUGAUUUUAAGGGACAAAGUUGAAAACAAGGAACAGGUUAUAUGAAAAUGAUGAGAUAAUGAUCAAAAGGGAAUAAAUGUUAUUUAUGUAUUCAAAUUCACUAAGCACUAUAAUCUCAUUCCAUUCGAGUUUUCCAGUGUCCCACAUUGGCUGGGGCAAGCGCAUAAGCAGUACAGAACUCUUCAUGGGAAGAAGAAGAAGAUGGUGGCCUAGCACUUAGUGAACAUUAACUAAAGCUGAUGUGCCAGCCAGGGGUAAUAGAAUCAGAUCUUUAACAGAUCCCGAGCUCCUAACUGAGGCUGGGUCUAAAAAAGAAAAAGUGAAAGAAAGGGAGAUCCAUUUCUGGUCUCUUGUCCUUUGCUGAUAAAAAAAGAGAGAACGAAGGGUUGGUUUUCCUUUGAUCUGACACCAGAUCAGCCACAGAGCCAAAAAUAGUAUUGAAACUGAAGCCAUACAAAUCUAUACAAAGCUCUUUUCAGCAAAUAAUAUUAUGAUUUCUACCUGAUGAUUCUCUUUCUGCCUUCUCUCCAUCUCGAGACCUCCAAGACAAUGGGGCUUGAUCUGUCAAGGAAAAGUUGAAUAAAAGAUUUUUA